GACGGAGGAUGCAAGCGUUAUCCGGAAUGAUUGGGCGUAAAGCGUCCGCAGGUGGCAGUUCAAGUCUGCUGUCAAAGACCGGGGCUUAACUUCGGAAAGGCAGUGGAAACUGAACAGCUAGAGUAUGGUAGGGGCAGAGGGAAUUCCUGGUGUAGCGGUGAAAUGCGUAGAGUAUCAGGAAGAACAUCGGUGGCGAAGGCGCUCUGCUGGACCAUAACUGACACUCAGGGACGAAAGCUAGGGGAGCGAAUGGG
rnacentral:rRNA from 1 species